rnacentral:rRNA from 1 species
UACGAAGGGGGCUAGCGUUGCUCGGAAUCACUGGGCGUAAAGGUGCGUAGGCGGGUUUUUAAGUCAGAGGUGAAAUCCUGGAGCUCAACUCCAGAACUGCCUUUGAUACUGAAGAUCUUGAGUUCGGGAGAGGUGAGUGGAACUGCGAGUGUAGAGGUGAAAUUCGUAGAUAUUCGCAAGAACACCCGUGGCGAAGGCGGCUCUCUGGUACGUGACUGACGCUGAGACGCGAAAGCGUGGGGAGCAACAGG